CAGCCGCCGCGGUAAUACGAGGGGGGCAAGCGUUGUUCGGAAUUAUUGGGCGUAAAGGGUGCGUAGGCGGUUUGAUAAGUCUGAUGUGAAAUCUCUGGGCUCAACCCAGAGUCUGCAUCGGAAACUGUCGGGCUUGAGGAUGGGAGAGGUGAGUGGAAUUUCCGGUGUAGCGGUGAAAUGCGUAGAUAUCGGAAGGAACACCUGUGGCGAAAGCGGCUCACUGGACCAUUUCUGACGCUGAUGCACGAAAGCGUGGGGAGCAAACAGGAUUAGAUACCCCAGUAGUCCCUGUCUCUUAUAC
rnacentral:rRNA from 1 species